UGUCUUCUAAAUAAAGACUAGUAUGAACGGCUAAAUGAGGAUAAAUCUGUCUCUUACAACUAAUCAGUGAAACUGAUCUUCCAGUACAAAAGCUGGAAUUAAGACAUAAGACGAGAAGACCCCGUGGAGCUUAAAAUAGACAACUAACCACAUCAGCACUAGUGUAUUAUUUUGAGUUGGGGCGACUUCGGAGUAAAACAAAACCUCCGAGUACAGAACCACCACUUCUAACCAAGGCCUACAAGCCUAAGUAAAAAUUGACCCGGCCUUACCGAUCAACGAACCAAGUUACCCCGGGGAUAACAGCGCUAUCUUCUUCAAGAGUCCCUAUCAACAAGAAGGUUUACGACCUCGAUGUUGGAUCAGGACACCCAAAUGGUGCAGCCGCUAUUAAAGGUUCGUUUGUUCAACGAUUAAUAGU
rnacentral:rRNA from 1 species